rnacentral:tRNA from 1 species
GUGUGUGUAGAUUAUCUUUAAAUCAUAAGGCUGUUAACUUUAAGAAGGCUUUUUAGUCCGCAGACG